AACGCACAUUGCGCCUUCUGGCAUUCCGGAAGGCAUGCUUGUUUGAGUAUCAGUAACAGCCUCAGCUCCUCUCUCUCUCUCUCUCUCUCUCUUCCUUUGGGAAAAGGGGCGGGGGGGAGAGAAGGCUGGAUUUGAGCAUUUUCCUUCCCUCUAAUCAAAAUUUGAUUUGGGGGGGAAGGAUGCUUGAAAUACAGGUUCGACCAUGACGGCAAGGGGGGUUUUUUUUUCCCCUCUCAUCCCUGGGCUACAAGCAUUUCAUACUUAAUCCCGUCAAACGGACUAUAUCUUUUUGCUGCAGCCAACACACACAAAAGGGGAUGAUCGUCAAGUUGGCUCGACUGAUGCAGGAAAAGUUGGACCCAGAUCUUGAUCAAUUUUUUGAUUUGCGAUCUGCGCUCUGCUAACUCGAUCUCAAAUCAAGUAAGACUACCCGCUGAACUUAA
rnacentral:misc_RNA from 1 species